CUGAGCCAUAACAUUUCUUCUUAACCCUACUAGAACGCAAGAUCCUAGGCUAUAUACAAUUACGAAAAG